UAAAAUAACGGAGAGAAAGAAGGGUGAGGGGAAGGCCAAUCGGGAGAGGAAAGAAAAGAGAGUGACCAAUGGAGAAGAGAAGAAAUUAGGGGAAAGGAGAGAGUGGAGGAGCACCGAAUCACCCUUGACUCGGUUCCUCCCCGGCGACCCGACUCGAUUUCUACCACCCCGAUUCCAAUUCCAGCAUUUUCCCAACGAAUUGAUCAUCGCCACCACCUGCACACGACUCCUCAACCCUUCUUCUUCAAGUUCCACCCAAACCCGAUGGUUUUUUAUCUUGUUUUUGUGGGGAAGGCGCCGACAUCACCGUGGGGGGAGAUCGGCGGAAAUCCGCCAAGGUAAACCCUUCGACAACUUCCACCAUUAGCCUUCCCUUGAGCUCAAGAACAAUGCCCAAUCAUUGGUUGGAGCGUCGGAGUCGAUUUGAGGACGAAUCAAGAAACACCCUUUAUAGGGUUUCCAACGGGUUUUAGUGAAAUUGCCGCUUUUCCGGCCAAAUUGGCCUUAGUCACAGGUAUGAAAGUCGCUCUACUCAUCAAGAUCUUCAUUCCUGUAAAAUUUGGGAAUUUUUGGAAUUUUUCGAUUUUCCUGCGAGUCGGGGCGGCUGACCGCCACGCGCGGUGGCGCGUGGAGGAAAAACCCGAUGUCCCUCCUUAGGUUUUUCGACAUGCUGAAUCCGAAUCCUCCAUCCGUUUUUUCCAAAUUAUAAUGUUUUAGUAGAGUUUUACUAAAAGGUCCCUUAUUAUGUUUAGGCGCGUUGGCGGGAAGUGAUCACAUUCUCGAUAGUUUGAGCGGCUUCGAGCAAUGGAAAACUAGUGAGUGGACCCCUUCAUAACUUAUAUAUUUUUAUAAAAUAUUAGCCUAUCAUGCAUUUCAU
rnacentral:lncRNA from 1 species